rnacentral:rRNA from 1 species
UAGAGAUUAGUUUGAUCCUGGCUCAGAUUGAACGCUGGCGGCAUGCUUUACACAUGCAAGUCGAACGGCAGCACGGGAGCUUGCUCCUGGUGGCGAGUGGCGAACGGGUGAGUAAUGCAUCGGAACGUACCCAGUCAUGGGGGAUAACUACGCGAAAGCGUGGCUAAUACCGCAUACGCCCUGAGGGGGAAAGCGGGGGACUCUUUCGGGAGCCUCGCGUGAUUGGAGCGGCUGAUGUCGGAUUAGCUAGUAGGUGGGGUAAAGGCUCACCUAGGCGACGAUCCGUAGCUGGUCUGAGAGGAUGAUCAGCCACACUGGGACUGAGACACGGCCCAGACUCCUACGGGAGGCAGCAGUGGGGAAUUUUGGACAAUGGGGGCAACCCUGAUCCAGCCAUGCCGCGUGAGUGAAGAAGGCCUUCGGGUUGUAAAGCUCUUUCAGUCGGGAAGAAACGGGCCGCUCUAAUAUGGCGGUCUAAUGACGGUACCGACAGAAGAAGCACCGGCUAACUACGUGCCAGCAGCCGCGGUAAUACGUAGGGUGCGAGCGUUAAUCGGAAUUACUGGGCGUAAAGCGUGCGCAGGCGGUUGUGUAAGACAGGUGUGAAAUCCCCGGGCUUAACCUGGGAACUGCGCUUGUGACUGCACGGCUAGAGUACGGCAGAGGGGGGUGGAAUUCCACGUGUAGCAGUGAAAUGCGUAGAUAUGUGGAGGAACACCGAUGGCGAAGCAGCCCCCUGGGCCGAUACUGA